AGAAAAGCAGGGGUUUGUUGUCUUUGUGAGCAGGCCUCCCGUGAACUUCGGGGAUAUUAUUUUCAUUGUUCUUGGGUGAACCUUUGUAAGCAUUUCCUCAAUGACAAAAGGUUCAGUAAACAAUGAGACACUU